GAUUUAUCCACUUCUUCCUGCAGUUAGGUCACAGUCCUGUGUUUGUGACAUAGCAGACAGUUGCCAUGGAGAUGAUUGCUUUAUCACCAACUCCUUUUUGCAAUAACUUCACAGCAAGGUUAUGGAGAAGCAGAUGGACUGCGAAGGAGA
rnacentral:lncRNA from 1 species